rnacentral:rRNA from 1 species
GGACGAACGCUGGCGGCGUGCUUAACACAUGCAAGUCGAGCGGUAAGGCCCUUUCGGGGUACGACGAGCGGCGAACGGGUGAGUAACACGUGGGUGACCUGCCCUUAGCUCUGGGAUAAGCCUGGGAAACUGGGUCUAAUACCGGAUAUGACUCCAUGACGCAUGUUGUGGGGUGGAAAGCCUUGUGCGGCUAGGGAUGGCCCGCGGCCUAUCAGCUUGUUGGUGGGGUGAUGGCCUACCAAGG